GCGCGAGUGCAAAGAAAGGANCUUGCUCCUUUGACGUUAGCGGCGGACGGGUGAGUAACACGUGGGCAACCUACCCUAUAGUUUGGGAUAACUCCGGGAAACCGGGGCUAAUACCGAAUAAUCUCUUUUACUUCAUGGUGAAAGACUGAAAGACGGUUUCGGCUGUCGCUAUAGGAUGGGCCCGCGGCGCAUUANCUAGUUGGUGAGGUAACGGCUCACCAAGGCGACGAUGCGUAGCCGACCUGAGAGGGUGAUCGGCCACACUGGGACUGAGACACGGCCCAUACUCCUACGGGAGGCAGCAGUAGGGAAUCUUCCACAAUGGGCGAAAGCCUGAUGGAGCAACGCCGCGUGAGUGAAGAAGGUUUUCGGAUCGUAAAACUCUGUUGUAAGGGAAGAACAAGUACAGUAGUAACUGGCUGUACCUUGACGGUACCUUAUUAGAAAGCCACGGCUAACUACGUGCCAGCAGCCGCGGUAAUACUUAGUGGCAAGCGUUGUCCGGAAUUAUUGGGCGUAAAGCGCGCGCAGGCGGUCCUUUAAUCUGAUGUGAAAGCCCACCGCUCACCGUGGAGGUCAUUGGAACUGGGGGACUUGAGUGCAAA
rnacentral:rRNA from 1 species